rnacentral:rRNA from 1 species
UACAGGGGAUGCAAGCGUUAUCCGGAAUUAUUGGGCGUAAAGGGUCCUGAGGUGGCUAUCCAAGUCUAUUGUGAAAUAUCAGGGCUUAACCCUGAACAUGCGGUGGAAACUAGAAAGCUUGAGUACAGUAGGGGCGGAGGGAAUUUCCGGUGGAGCGGUGAAAUGCAUAGAUAUCGGGAAGAACACCAACGGCGAAAGCACUCCGCUGGGCUGAUACUGACACUGACAGACGAAAGCUAGGGUAGCGAAUGGG